rnacentral:rRNA from 1 species
CCGCGUGGAGGAUGACGCAUUUCGGUGUGUAAACUCCUUUUAUAUCGGAAGAUAAUGACGGUACCAUAUGAAUAAGCACCGGCAAACUCCGUGCCAGCAGCCGCGGUAAUACGGAGGGUGCAAGCGUUACUCGGAAUCACUGGGCGUAAAGCGCGCGCAGGCGGCCUU